CUGCUCCAAGCAGACAAGUCGAUCAGUCGUGUGGAAAUAAAGUGUCUAGCGCCAGCAAAGUACGUUUGUUUGUGAAUUAAUUAAAUAUAUCCACAGUCCCGUCUGAAUGCCAGGCAACGCUAACAUGGAAGAAUUGUGUACAAUACUCGCAAAAACGCGUGAUCCGUCGACGCAAAAAGAACAAGAUGAGAUACUGCUGCAGCCAUUCGCUUACAUACAACAAAUACCAGGCAAACAAUUCCGUUCAGAACUGGCCUUGGCAUUCAAUCAUUGGCUUAAUAUUCCGGCGGAAAAAUUACACCAGAUUGGCGAAAUUGUGCAAAUGCUGCACAAUUCCAGCUUAUUAAUUGAUGAUAUUGAAGACAAUUCAAUACUUCGCAGAGGUGUUCCCGUAGCGCAUUCGAUUUAUGGCGUGGCCAGCACCCUCAAUGCAGCAAAUUAUGUGCUCUUUCUUUCGUUGGAGAAGGUGCAACAGUUGGGUCAUCCAGAGGCCACCAAUGUUUACACCGAACAGCUGUUGGAACUGCAUCGUGGCCAAGGCAUGGAAAUUUAUUGGCGCGAUAGUUUUACUUGCCCUUCGGAAUCGGAUUACAAGCUGAUGACUAUACGCAAAACGGGCGGUCUAUUCAUGCUUGCCAUACGCUUGAUGCAGCUCUUUAGCGAGAAUAAGGAAGAUUUCACUAAACUGACCGCCAUACUGGGCUUGUACUUUCAAAUACGUGACGAUUACUGUAAUCUGAGCUUGAAAGAGUAUACGCAAAAUAAAAGCUUUGCUGAGGAUUUAACCGAGGGUAAAUUUGGUUUUCCUGUCAUACAUGCGGUACGCUCACAGAAGCAUGACAAGCAGGUUUUGCAUAUUCUGCGACAGCGCACUCACGAUAUCGAAGUGAAGAAAUACUGCAUCAGUUUGCUGGAAAAAUUGGGCAGCUUUCAGUAUACGCGUGAGGUAUUGGAAUCACUCGACAAGGAAGCGAGAGCGGAGGUCGUACGCUUGGGUGGCAAUCCUUACAUGGAUGUCUUACUCAACAAGUUGCUGUCAUGGAAAGCCAACGAUAAUCACAUUAAUCACAAUGAUGUUGCAUCGCCGAGCAAUCACAAUAGCAAUUAACAGCCAAAGAGGCAAAAGAGGGAACUUUGAAUUAACCCAGUUAAUUCGCCAACCUCUUUUGCUGCUAAAAGUGAAAUGAAUAUGAUAGAGGUUUUUUUGCAAAAACUAAAUAUUUUUUAAAUUAUUCAACAAGCGCUUGUUAAUAGCUGAAUUUCGUGUUUUUUCUUCGUUUCAACGUUCUUUCAAUUAUUAGAAACAUAAAACGAGAAUAUGUACUAAAAUAGCACUAAAAGAACACUCAAGCGUGUAACAUAGAGAUUUAAUUUAAUAAUUUAAGUACAUACAUAUGAAAAAAAUACAUACUUAUGCGCCGUUGAAUUAAAGUAUCCUAAGUCGGAAAAUGCUCUUUUCCCUUUAAAGCAACAUUUCAUUGGGCUCGAAAACAAUAUUUUAACCUUUAACUAUCCAUAGGUGUAGUUCAAGAUGCCCUUUUUAAAGAAGCUUAAUAAAAAUAUAAAAAUUUUCAAGGGAAACUUCAAUUCAAAGUCAAACCUUCCAAAGUCACUUAAGCUACUUUAAUUGUACGGCACAGAUAUGUACCUGUGUAUUUAUGUUCAUUAAGUAUUCGAUUUGUUAUCUAGCGUAUAAUUAACGGAGUUGAGAAGAAAAACGAAUCUUCACAUUUGUUUUGUUUUUUUUUUUGUAUGGAAAAUGUAUAAAAAUGAAAUUUUGUUUUGAUUCGUAAGCUACACUAUCUUCCUGCUCUUACACACCUUGCCGUUUACGUAUUUGUGUUAACUUUUGUGCCAGCAUUGUAACUUAAGUUGCGGCUAAUAAACAUUAUUCUUAUAAAUAUUGAAAAAAUUCAGAUUGAAUACGCUUGAGCGCUACACAAAAUUAUACAUUCACUUUUUUACGAAAACCUACUUUCGCGUUUUGAGAAAAAAAGUUUAUUAUUAGAAACGUUUUUGAAAAACAUGAAAUAUGCAAUUUGAUUGAAUAUUGUUGUUUUUACGGUAACAUUUAAUGCUACAUACUUGUUAAUAUAUCGUGUUGAUUAUAAACAUAUAAUAUGUAAUUUCAAUUCACUUAAGUACGCGUGUACUUAAUAUUCUAAAUCGAUGUAUUGUACUUUAAUUAAGCAAUGUUUUUUAAAGAAAAUUUUCAUGGAAAAUAUUAUAAAUAUCUUAAAUAUCACUUAUCAAAAAUUCCAAAAUUCGCACGUUUAUAGAAUAUACAAAUUGUUAACGCAAUAAUCAUUAAGCAAAUGCACAUCUACAUACGCAUACACAUCCAUACACGCCCUCGUACAUACAUACGUACAUAUAAAAUCACAGUUACACUCGUUUUUAUGCCUGAAGUAUACAAAAUAUAGAUUUUAGUGAAAAAUAUGUUCAUAUUCUAUAACCUUUAUUCACUUGUAAGUGAUAUGUGAUUAUUAGUUAGACUUUCAAGACUUUUUCCAAUAAAAUGUUUACUAUAGUUGCUAGAUUUUGUAGACUUCAGGCAGCUAAACAGGCAACAGCAGUUACAAGUAAAGACUUGCAAAACCGUUUGUAAAUGAUAUUUUAAAUAAAAGCAAAACAAAUUUGUAUGUAUUCGCAAUAUUAUAAAAAUAGAACAAA